AUUGAACGCUGGCGGCGGCCUAACACAUGCAAGUCGAGCGGCAGCGGGAAAGUAGCUUGCUACUUUUGCCGGCGAGCGGCGGACGGGUGAGUAAUGCCUGGGGAUCUGCCCAGUCGCGGGGGAUAACUACUGGAAACGGGAGGUAAUACCGCCUAAGCCCUAAGGGGGAAAGCAGGGGGCCUUGCGGGCUUGCGGCACUGGCUGAAGCCAGGUGGGAUUAGCUAGUUGGUGAGGUAAUGGCUCACCAAGGCGACGAUCCCUAGCGGGUCUGAGAGGAUGAUCAGCCACACUGGAACUGAGACACGGUCCAGACUCCUACGGGAGGCAGCAGUGGGGAAUAUUGCACAAUGGGGGAAACCCUGAUGCAGCCAUGCCGCGUGUGUGAAGAAGGCCUUCGGGUUGUAAAGCACUUUCAGCGAGGAGGAAAGGUUGGUAGCUAAUAACUGCCAGCUGUGACGUUACUCGCAGAAGAAGCACCGGCUAACUCCGUGCCAGCAGCCGCCGUAAGAC
rnacentral:rRNA from 1 species